AUUGAACGCUGGCGGCAGGCCUAACACAUGCAAGUCGAGCGAGCGGCGGACGGGGGAGUAAUGUAUGGGGACUGCCCGCUAGAGGGGGAUAACUACUGGAAACGGUAGCUAAUACCGCAUACUAUCGGAUAACCCAUAUGGGAUUAGCUAGUAGGUGGGGUAAUGGCUCACCUAGGCGACGAUCCCUAGCUGGUCUGCGAGGAUGAUCAGCCACACUGGGACUGAGAAACGGCCCAGACUCCUACGGAGGCAGCAGUGGGGAAUAUUGCACAAUGGGCGAAAGCCUGAUGGAGCAAUGCCGCGUGUAUGAAGAAGGCCCUAGGGUUGUAAAGUACUUUCAGUCGGGAGGCGUUACCGACAGAGGAAGCACCGGCUAACUCCGUGCCAGCAGCCGCGGUAAUUC
rnacentral:rRNA from 1 species